GCUUACUUUUGGGCAUUACUUCAUAGGUGGCCAGAGAAGACAAAUAAAUGAGUGAAUGAGCCAUCAGGUUAUUUGGAAGCUGGAACUCAGGUAAUUUUGGACUUCUGCAUACAAACCAGAGAAGCGGAGCUGCCGUCCUGUUCAUUGGAAGCUGUGUCUACUUUAGCUAUUGGAGCUUGUCGUCGAAGAUUUUAUGAAGAAAGAAUGACUUACCAACUCCUAAAAUCAACAACUUCAAGGGCCCUCUGAAAAUCAGGGGUUACAAAGAUAUGUCAUCAGCGUGACAGUUCAAAAGGAACAAUGCCUCCAUGACACUCGUUCCCUUACUACUCUUCAUGUGACCUGUGUGUCAGCUCUAUAGGACUUCCAGCAGCUUCGAGUUGGCUUCUCAUCAAGAUGAUUCAGAAAAUGCUGCUGAGCUGUGGUGCACAAACAAGGACAUGAGUUCCGCCAUGUCCAAAAGAAUGAUGGUGCGAAUCCUAGUUACAGGUUAUAUCAGCAAUUAAACUGUGCACAUCAUGGGAAACAUCAUGAAAUGCCAACACUGGGCCAAUAUAGCCUCUGAAGCUUUACUGACAGAUCCUUUCCUGCGCAGACUCAAUGGACCUCUCUCCAACUGCUCUCUGUGAUGAAAGCCAGACA